UGGGGAAUCUUGCACAAUGGGGGCAACCCUGAUGCAGCGACGCCGCGUGAGCGAUGAAGCCCUUCGGGGUGUAAAGCUCUUUCGGCAGGGAAGAUAAUGACGGUACCUGCAGAAGCAGCUGCGGCUAACUACGUGCCAGCAGCCGCGGUAAUACGUAGGCAGCGAGCGUUGUUCGGAGUUACUGGGCGUAAAGGGUGUGUAGGCGGUUGUUUAAGUUUGGUGUGAAAUCUCCCGGCUCAACUGGGAGGGUGCGCCGAAUACUGAAUGACUUCGAGUGCGGGAGAGGAGAGUGGAAUUCCUGGUGUAGCGGUGAAAUGCGUAGAUAUCAGGAGGAACACCGGUGGUGUAGACGGCUCUCUGGACCGUAACUGACGCUGAGACACGAAAGCGUGGGUAGCAAACA
rnacentral:rRNA from 1 species